rnacentral:lncRNA from 1 species
CUCAUAUACAGACAAAAAAAUCAAACAAUGAGAGUUCCCUUUGUAGUUCAUUAAUGCAAAGUGGCACUUUUUAAGAGCUGUUUUGUGCUCAUGGGCCAUGAAGUCAAGGCCUGGUGCUCUGAUAAAAGGAGCAGAUCUUGAAUAAACAUGGACUGCUAACUAGAAGAUUAUUGAGUGUCAGAGGGGUAAGAUUCUGGAAGUCUUGCAGUGAAGAUACUGAAGGAUCCUCACGAGUCCAAAAUACAGAUUUCAAGAGUCUCAAUACCACGUCUGCAUCUCUUGGUGAACCGAGAAGCUCAGCACAGAUUCAGUGUCCUCUCUCCACAUCUCCCAACGUUUUCCAUCCAGGGCUGCCCAGUGACUCCAUCCCCGUCUCUUCUGGGAGAGGUCUGCAGGCAAGCCAGGAUGCGGAGGUAAAAAGACAGGAGAUAACAGGAAACAAACCUGGGGAAGUCCUCAUCUUGCCACUCCUCCUUGACAUCCACGUUUUCCAUCCGUAAAGUGGCUUCUGUGGUUCCCAUGGUGCUCGGAGCGGGCUGGCUGGACAGCAGCUCCCCCAGGAAAGGGCUCAGGCUGGAAGGCGAAAGGCAGAGAGGUUGUUGUUGAGCAUCGCUACCUGGGAGUAUUUAAUGUGAACCAUUCAGAGCAGGCACAGGAGAUACCUUGGGGCUCAGAGAGACCCCACCUCCCUCCCUCCUCCCAGCACUGCCAGCUGCUUUCUGCUCACCCUGAAGGCAUCAUGGAGGGAGGGAGAGAGAGGAAAGAUGCUGAAGCAGAUCCCAGGCUGACGUUUCUUAACAUCAAACAUCGCCCAGCAGCGUGGAAGCCCAGAUGAUGCUGUACUCACCGAUGCUUGUGGCUAAUGAGGAACAAAGGAGGUGCUGCCUGUAUCCCAGCUGGACAUUCCUCCGGAGGGCGACGGGCUGCUCAGCAGGUCCAGCGCCUGGAUCCGGAUGCAGACGUGUGCGGCUUUCUCAGCGCAGGAGCAUGGGGAUGCAUCUAGAAGCAGGCAGAAGAUCCAUUAGGACAGAAAGAUGCUAGGACGUCUGUGACACUUGAUGGCUCUAAAGUUAAAUAUCAAAGUCCGCAGUGUCAUCUCCAGCUAAGCAAAUAGAGAUAUUAUUACAGGCAGAAAAGCUGUUUUGGAGUCUGCCACAGGAGGGCGAUGGAUCCCCCGAGCCUGGCUGUGCUGGAGCUGCAGGAGCCGGGCUCUAGAGGUCGCUUUGCACCAGGAGAUGGUUGAGCUGAGAGCUGACACUGUCCUCGUGGUUUCUCCAAAGAGAAAAGCAGAAAUAGUCAAGCAGAGGUUACAGCUUUUCAUUUAUGAGGAGGCGUGAGAGAGCGUGAAUCCCAGGAGCUGCCAAGGGCAUGAGGAGAGCGCUGUGAAGGAGGAACCCAAAGCUGGGUGCCAGCUGCAUGGAUAAACUCACACAGCUCCCAAGGGAUGAGGAAACCAAAUGCAUCCUGAUUCCCAGACGAUGGGGCAAUGUGGCUUGAUUUCUUGCCAUAGCAGAGGGAUCAGCCAGCGUGUGGAGAGGAGCUGGAGGGGAGAGGCGGCAGGUCUGUGCCUGGUCACUUCUGCAGCGCUUGGAUUUGUCAUCUUGAUGGGGAGCUGUUGGUGGCAUGAACUACUUGAAACCACCUGGUGCGCGGGGAAUGCUUUCCCUUCAAGAGAUGCUUAAACUCCUACUGAUUUUAGACAGAGCCCGUACGGAAGUUGCCCCCAGUGAUCCAUUUUACAUGGGAGAGUGAGGAGGAGAAAUGCAGAAUCCAGAAACAUGUGCAAAGCCGCUUCCUUGAGAUACCCCGAGGAAAGGCCCUGUAUGGCUCAGCAACCUUGGAAAACACGGUUAGUUUUGGGAAACACCAGACACUUUGGUGCUCCGCACAAAGAAAAGCGAGGAACAAGGUGCGAGCGCAGUUCAGAGCGUCCUGUCCGUGACCGUUGUGUGAAGCAGGCAGAGCGACCUGAAGCAAAGCCCCAGCUCGUAAAUCCUCACUGCUGCCAGGACCUGGAGGCUUUUCUUCUCUCUGUCAAAGUGAGUAAUCAAAUCCCCUCAAACACGUUUUUAAUUGGGUAACUGAAGGCUGUAAUGUUCCCUCUGGGACAUCUGGGGUGUGCUUGCAGGGAGACGCUGGCUCCCAUUCCCCGGUGCGAGUGACGCCAAGCAGCAGCCGGGUUCCU